rnacentral:rRNA from 1 species
UCGGGGGGAUGCUUUAACAUGCAGUCGAACGGCAGCGCGGGGCAACCUGGCGGCGAGUGGCGAACGGGUGAGUAAUAUAUCGGAACGUACCCAAGAGUGGGGGAUAACGUAGCGAAAGUUACGCUAAUACCGCAUACGAUCUAAGGAUGAAAGUGGGGGAUUCGCAAGAACCUCGUGCUCCUGGAGCGGCCGAUAUCUGAUUAGCUAGUUGGUGAGGUAAAGGCUCACCAGGGCCACGAUCAGUAGCUGGUCUGAGAGGACGACCAGCCACACUGGAACUGAGACACGGUCCAGACUCCUACGGGAGGCAGCAGUGGGGAAUUUUGGACAAUGGGCGCAAGCCUGAUCCAGCAGUGCCGCGUGAGUGAAGAAGGCCUUCGGGUUGUAAAGCUCUUUUGUCAGGGAAGAAACGGUCUCCGCUAAUAUCUGGGGCUAAUGACGGUACCUGAAGAAUAAGCACCGGCUAACUACGUGCCAGCAGCCGCGGUAAUACGUAGGGUGCAAGCGUUAAUCGGAAUUACUGGGCGUAAAGCGUGCGCACGCGGUUUUGUAAGUCUGUCGUGAAAGCCCCGGGCUCAACCUGAGAAUUGCGAUGGACACUGCAGGGCUUGAAUCUGGCAGAGGGGGGUAGAAUUCCACGUGUAGCAGUGAAAUGCAUAGAGAUGUGGAGGAACACCGAUGGCGAACGCAGCCCCCUGGGUCAAGAUUGACUCUCAUGCACGAAAGCGUGGGGAGCAAACAGGAUUAUAUACCCUGGUACUCCACGCCCUAAACUAUGUCUACUAUUUCUCGGGGUUUUAAUUAACUUGGUAACGCAUCUCACGCGAGAAUACACCCCCUGGAGAUACGGUCGCAUAUAAACAUAAAAUUUUUUUGGGGGG